rnacentral:rRNA from 1 species
UACAGAGACUUCAAGCGUUAUCCGGUUUCACUGGGCGUAAAGCGUUCCGAUAGGUGGAUAAGUGUGUUUAUAGUUAAAGACCGAGGCUCAACCUCGUGUAUGCUAUGAAAACUGCUUAUCUAGAAGAGCAAAGAGGUAGCUGGAACUCUACAUGUAGGGGUAAAAUCCGUUGAUAUGUAGGGGAACACCGAAAGCGAAGGCAGGCUACUGGGUGCUUCUUGACACUGCUAGGACGAAAGCGUGGGGAGAGAAUGGG